rnacentral:lncRNA from 1 species
UACGGUAAAAUAUGACAAGACAAAUAAUCCAAAGAACACAAGGAUUUAUACUGGUUCGGCGUAAGCCUACGUCCAGUUCCGAGACGGCGAGGAAAUUCCACUAAUAUCAAAGGAGAUUACAAAUAGAGUUUUAACUCUCAAACCCAAAUCCCACAUACACCCAAUAGCUCUCACUCUCACAAAGAACAAAUGGAGAAGAUGGAAACAUAUACCAAAUUCCUUCUCUCCCAACAGCCACAAAAUGUAGCACAAUUAUCUUUGGUUGAGUGAUCACUAACAAAGGGGAUUACAAACAAAGGGAAGAAUAGAAAACAUCAACCUUUCUCUUACUUCUCUCUAAUCUGCCAUUCACCUUCUCUCGGCUUCUCCUCAAACAUAUAGCAGCUGCUACCUUGAAAAUACCAAAAGAAAAGCUCUUGACUUUUCUUCCCUGAGCCAACAUCCUAACAAAUUUCAUCAUUGCUGCCUUUUCUCUUUUUUGCUUGCUUUCGGCUGCGCUUUCUUUUCUGCUACCUUUCUGCUGCUUUUCUGCAGCUUGUCUUCUGACCAAAAGGCAUGAAUUUCCUUAUAUAAGGCUGGUGCCUUUUUAAUUAAACCCUAGCUGCCAUGUGGCUUUCAAAUGGGUAACAAAAGGCCAAACCUAUUUAGGCUUGAGACAAAAAAUUAAAGGCCCAAGAAGUAUUGAGCCACAAAAUCCAACAAUCUCCACCUUGGCGAAAUUCCCGAAAGCAACUCAGAGUUGACUCAACAAUCAUCAUAAGCACCCAAAAUACGAACUACACAGACAACGGAAGCUAAAUCAAAUUCACCAAACUUUCCGGUACUCAUAACAAUUUCCACCUCGACUCAAACUGUACCAAAGCCAACGAAAGUGAACAUUUCUCUACCGUCUUCUCCAAAUUUGCAAACCAUAAGUGCCUUGAUCAAAACAAAAGUGAUUCAAACGAAGAACUGAAAUUCUUCAAUAUCACCAACAAAAGAUCAAGCACAUCAUACCAAAGUUGGACACACAACGAACUCCACCUGCUCACAAACACCAUGGUCUUAAACUGCACCAAUAGACUCAUUCACAUAGCAUGGCACAUUCUCCAAGUCAAAACUGAUUACAAAUUUGGCAACAAAGUCUCACAUACCACAUACGAAAAUAUGCCCUUCACUCAAGUUUACCAUCAUCACAUGAGCACCAACAGGACAACCAAAAUUUCAAAUUCAAAUAAUCAGCAGGAGAUCCAAAACCAUACCUCAACUGGAGUCUUCAAGAAAACUAAUUGCAGAUGAUGGAGAUCAACAGACCAAAUAGCAGAGGCAAACAAAUCCAACCAAAUGUCCAUAGCCCAAACAAAGUUAGAAAGCAUAUAACUUGCCUUCUACACGAGGGUUCCACACAAAUGUUCUGCAGUGCAUGUGGUGUAUCCAAAAUAGUGUGGUGCCUCACUAUCCAAACUUGCAGAACUCAACAAAUUGGCCCUCACUGAAUUCAACUUUACCAAAAAAAGCAAAACCAUACCAAUAUCUAAAACAAUAAAAACAUCGAUGAAGAGCAACUGACAUAACACAAACAUACAUAGAGGCUACUAAGCAACUUUCUCAAAUCAUAACAAAGAAUCCUUACAAACUCUUAAAUCUCCAUAUGUAGUAGAGAGAUUUAAGAGUACCCACAACACCAGAUUCUUUUUUUUUUUUUUUUUUAAUUUCAAAUCUGGUGUAGCCAACUGUCAUCAUAGAACAAAGUCGAAGUCGUCAUUGACGACAUUCGCACUCGCACCAGCAUUAUCUUUCAGUUUUGGGCAAUCAACUUUCCAAUGCCCUUCCUUGCGACAAUAGCUGCAUGUGUUGUUUCUGGUCUUAGACUUCGAUCUCAAAUUUCCUUUAUUACUCCCUGAACCAUAUUCCCUAUCUCUGCCUCUUGCUAUCAAAGCCUCAGAAUGAGAAUCAUUCAAAUUUCCAAAUACUUUGUUCUUUAACUCUCUUGAAUUCAAAGCGGCUUUUACAUUCUCCAUACAAAUAGAAUCUCUCCCAUAUAACAAAGUUUCAACAAAAUUCGCAUACGAAGGAGGUAAAGAACACAACAAAAUCAAAGAUUGAUCCUCAUCAUUAAUUUUAUUAUCCAUACUUUUCAAAUCCAUAAUAACCUUAUUAAACUCAUCAAGAUGGUUUUGAAUAGGUGUACCUUCAGUCAUACGGAGAGUGUACAAACAUUGCUUCAAAUACAAACGAUUGGUGAGGGAUUUGGUCAUGUAUAUACUCUCCAACUUAAGCCACAAACCAGCUGCAGUAGUUUCAUUUUCCAUCUCACGAAGAACUUCAUCAGAUAGUGAUAACAUAAUUGCACUAGUGCUCGAUUCAAAGCGUCUUCUUUUUCUUCAGCAGACCAAUCUUGUGGCAAGGCUUCCACACCCUGUAGCGCCUUAAGCAAUCCUUGUUGAACUAGCACAGCUCGCAUCUUAACCCGCCACAGGCUAAAAUCAUUCCUCCCAUUGAAUUUUUCAAUAUCAUAUUUCACCGACAUAUUCGAAGGUUUCAUAGACAUAUUAGUACAAAGCCCCAAGUCGAAACCCGGAGCUCUGAUACCACUUGUUGUGCGGAAGCGUCAAAUAUGAAACCAAUAAGCUAAUACGGUAAAAUAUGACAAGACAAAUAAUCCAAAGAACACAAGGAUUUAUACUGGUUCGGCGUAAGCCUACGUCCAGUUCCGAGACGGCGAGGAAAUUCCACUAAUAUCAAAGGAGAUUACAAAUAGAGUUUUAACAAUCAAACCCAAAUCCCACAUACACCCAAUAGCUCUCACUCUCACAAAGAACAAAUGGAGAAGAUGGAAACAUAUACCAAAUUCCUUCUCUCCCAACAGCCACAAAAUGUAGCACAAUUAUCUUUGGUUGAGUGAUCACUAACAAAGGGGAUUACAAACAAAGGG